GCCUCCUUGGCUCAGUUGGCUAGAGCGCAGGUCUCAUAGAAAUAUGACGUAGCACGGCUACACCAAUCCUGAGGUCGCAAGUUCGAGCCUUGCAGGGGGCA